AAACAGCCCCCUAUGUAUUGGAUCUUUGGCAGUUUUGGCCCCCAAGAUCACUUUUGACUUAGUCUUCGCUGACGUGGCACCCACAAUGGUCGACACGUGGCACCUCACUUAAGGGAUAUGGGUGCCACGUCACCGAAGACUAAGUCAAAAGUGGCCUUAGGGGCCAAAACUGCCAAAGAUCCAAUACAUAGGGGGCUGUUU
rfam:Medicago truncatula strain A17 chromosome 5, whole genome shotgun sequence.